rnacentral:rRNA from 1 species
AGAGUUUGAUCCUGGCUCAGGAUGAACGCUAGCUACAGGCUUAACACAUGCAAGUCGAGGGGAAACGACAUCGAAAGCUUGCUUUUGAUGGGCGUCGACCGGCGCACGGGUGAGUAACGCGUAUCCAACCUGCCCGCCACUUGGGGAUAACCUUGCGAAAGUAAGACUAAUACCCAAUGAUAUCUCUAGAAGACAUCUGAAAGAGAUUAAAGAUUUAUCGGUGAUGGAUGGGGAUGCGUCUGAUUAGCUUGUUGGCGGGGUAACGGCCCACCAAGGCGACGAUCAGUAGGGGUUCUGAGAGGAAGGUCCCCCACAUUGGAACUGAGACACGGUCCAAACUCCUACGGGAGGCAGCAGUGAGGAAUAUUGGUCAAUGGACGAGAGUCUGAACCAGCCAAGUAGCGUGCAGGAUGACGGCCCUAUGGGUUGUAAACUGCUUUUAUAAGGGAAUAAAGUGAGUCUCGUGAGACUUUUUGCAUGUACCUUAUGAAUAAGGACCGGCUAAUUCCGUGCCAGCAGCCGCGGUAAUACGGAAGGUCCGGGCGUUAUCCGGAUUUAUUGGGUUUAAAGGGAGCGUAGGCCGGAGAUUAAGCGUGUUGUGAAAUGUAGACGCUCAACGUCUGCACUGCAGCGCGAACUGGUUUCCUUGAGUACGCACAAAGUGGGCGGAAUUCGUGGUGUAGCGGUGAAAUGCUUAGAUAUCACGAAGAACUCCGAUUGCGAAGGCAGCUCACUGGAGCGCAACUGACGCUGAAGCUCGAAAGUGCGGGUAUCGAACAGGAUUAGAUACCCUGGUAGUCCGCACGGUAAACGAUGGAUGCCCGCUGUUGGUCUGAAUAGGUCAGCGGCGG